UGACACGACUCUCGGCAACGGAUAUCUCGGCUCUCGCAUCGAUGAAGAACGUAGCGAAAUGCGAUACCUGGUGUGAAUUGCAGAAUCCCGCGAACCAUCGAGUCUUUGAACGCAAGUUGCGCCCGAGGCCACCCGGUCGAGGGCACGCCUGCCUGGGCGUCAC
rnacentral:rRNA from 1 species